GUCUGCUUGAGAAAAAAAUAUAUAUUCCACCUAUUAGUCAUCGUUCUAGUAUGCGCGUAUUUUAUCUAUUCCACCUAAAUAAACAAAAUGGAAUUUACCAUUUAUUAUCUUUCCUAAACAUAUUUUAAAUCUACAGUAAAUCUCACACAAUAUUUUAUCUCCCAUGUUUUUUCUCCAAGAUCUUUCUUUCAUUCGCACUAUGUUUAUCUUUCUUCUUUUUCCAUCUCACCAUUUAUUCUUUCAAUCCGCACAAACAUGGUUCUUAUCUGUCACACCCCGUUUUUCAAAUUACAAAGUCUGUGGCCGAUUUGAAAAUGACCAAGAGAAGAGGGACCAUUCUGAUAUUACGAGGAAGUCUGGAAUGCAUAAUUGAAUGAUUUGGUUUAUUUCGAGAGAUCUUGUCCGCACAUGAAGAAACUAUGGGGCUGAAAUGAAAUGUAUCAGAAGCUUAAGGACCCAAUGGGCAAAAAGGAGAAACUCCACCAUUGUUGCUCGAGCUUCCUCCGAUGGCGAUUGAAGAUCCUGCGACCAGUGAGAUUCCCCAGUCUUGAUGUAAGGAGACUUCGUCGUGGCUGAGCAACUUUCGUGGAGGUUCGUGGCGAAGUGAAGAUGACUCCGAGCUUCAAGACGGCUUAUCAAAGAAGAUGGUUGCGGUGGCUGAGAUUGGUGAGCACACGCCGAGAGCUCGACAUAGCAAGACGACGAUAUUGGUCCGGUGCUGCUAGUCGAAGAUGAACAAACGACGACGGGGUGAGCUUGAUGGCGGAUUGGAGAAACGGUUCAGACCAGAGAGUCGGGCUUCAAGUUGGUGACCACAAACCGUCGAUCUCUACGUCUCUAAAUUUCGUCUUCAACCUUUUAAUAAAACAAUUAACAAAUAUUAUAUAUUCUAGUUAAAUUUAAUUUAGAUUAAUUUAAGGAUAUAAUGAUAUCAACAAUAAUUAACAUUCUAAUGAGAUAAAAAUAUUAGAUUAAGUUUUAAGGGGACAAUCCCAA
rnacentral:lncRNA from 1 species